UCUUCAAAAUCAGCUUCCUUUUCCUGUUUAUGAUUGUUGACUCCUUUAAUUUCGUCAUUGUUGGGCCAAAACUUAAACCCUGUUGUCAAAAUUUGACAUCCAAAAGGAAUAUAGAAUGCACAUAUUUGUAGUGAAAUGUAAUGUAUAUAUAUAGGUAGGAGGAUGAAAGAGAAAAGAGUAGUCCUUAUCAAACAUUUAUGUAGGUGAGUCAAACCUUACCAUCAGCAUUUAAUGCUUGAUAGUAAGAGCAUCUUUAUCAGCGGCUUAUUUUUUGUGGUUUUUAAGGAGUUUUUGUAAGUGUGAUUAGUAGGAGAGAGAAGGAAGAAAACAAAAAAUGAAGAAAAAGAAAAAAAAAAAGGAAAAAGAUAUUUAAUCUAAUACAUAAAUCAAGAAAAAAACCAAAAAGAAGCAAAAAGGCAGCAAUUGAAAUCCGUGCGCUUUUUGUGAACCACAUACUUCUCUCUUGCUGACCUCAUGCUCUCCUUUAUCAGAUUGUGGAGCCCACAAAGUUUUGCCUCUUGCAGGAGAAAUAUAUUUGAAAAAACUAUCACCCACACUAGUUUAGAAACCAACCAUGAAUUCUUAUUUCUGACAAAAACUCUCAUAGAUGCAUUGCUAUGGAUGCUCUAAGGUUGCUUGUUUUGUAGGAAUACCAAUAUUUUAUGUACUGGAAAUUGUGCCAAUUUUAAUCUACAGAUUUUCUUUAAUUUUUCCUACAAAGAUGAUAUUUUAGAUAAUCAAAAUGAUUCCACAUUCACAGUUUUGUAAAAUAAGGCUUCUCAAUAAUAUAUUGAAGAUGUAAGUAACCACUUAGUGUUUCUGAAAAUCCAGACUUCAAUUUGAGUAAGUAAAUGAAAAAAAUGGUAAAUGAAUUGUUUUUUUUUUUUUCAAUUUUAUGUUCCUUGUUCAUGUUUACCAUUUUAAGUGGCUGCAGUUGAUACAAAAGAAUUCACCUAAGCAAGAACUAAUUAAUUCACAAACAGUUGAGAACAAAUUAGUGGAAACUGCUUUAAAAAGUAAGUACCAAAUACCUUUUUUGCCUUUAUUUAUAAAUUUAGUGUGAAUAUACUCUAGCUAUAAACUAAGUUCAUUAAAAAAUAAUAGCUAAAAUGAUGCCUAAAAGUAAAUGAAAUCUGUUUGUACUUGUAGCUGAUAGUAGUGUAUUAAGUAGUAUUUGGUUUGAAAUUUUUUUUAAUUUCUUUUUAAGAUUAUCAAUCUAGGCUUUACGGUUGCAUAAUAUCACCAUCAUAACAUCAUAACAUAUAAGAACAGAACAUAGCUUGAAAAUUUUGAGAUGUAAAUAUGUAAGUGACACUCCAUGUUCUUGAACUUGAAUAUCAAAAUCAUGAAAAUGAUACCACAUUCACUAAUUUGUAAACUAAUUAUUUUAACAAUAAUACUAAAGAUGUAAGUAACCACCGAGUGUUUCUGAAAAUCCAGACUUCAUUUUGAGUAAGUACGCAAUCUGGGAAAAAUGUUUGGGAAUUGUUUUUUUUUUUAAGGGGCUGCACUUCAUACGAAAGAGUUCAACAAAGCAGGAACUAAUUGAGGAACAGUUUACAUCAAAGAAUUGGAAUCUGCUUUAAAAAUGACAACAUAGCUCCUCACACAUCUCAACCUCAUGACCUUGUUGGUUUGUUGGGGAUGAAGCUGAGCAGCCACAAUGAACUUUCAGCCAUGUUUUACAGCUUUGCUAUUUUACUUCUUAUCCCUUUGCUUCUAACAGAGUGUUUGGUUGGGAGGAGAGAAUUAGGGGGGAAAAGAAUUGUAAUAAUUGUAAUUUGGUGGAAUUGCAAUUCAAUGAAUAAAGUAGGAAUUAAAAUUA